rnacentral:rRNA from 1 species
AGGAGGGGGAUAACCCGGGAAACUGGGGAUAAUACCCCAUAGAUCAGGGACGCUGGAAUGCCCCCUGAUUCAAAGGUCCGCCGCCUGAGGAUGGGUCUGCGGCCGAUUAGGUUGUUGUUGGGGUAACGGCCCAACAAGCCAUUGAUCGGUACGGGUUGUGAGAGCAAGAGCCCGGAGAUGGAUUCUGAGACACGAAUCCAGGCCCUACGGGGCGCAGCAGGCGCGAAAACUUUACAAUGCGAGAAAUCGUGAUAAGGGAACCCCGAGUGCCCGUAAAUUCGGGCUGUCCGCCAGUGUAAAUAACUGGUGAAGAAAGGGCCGGGCAAGACCGGUGCCAGCCGCCGCGGUAAUACCGGCGGCUCGAGUGGUGGCCACUAUUACUGGGCUUAAAGCGUCCGUAGCUGGAUUGUUAAGUCUCUUGGGAAAUCCACCGGCUCAACCGAUGGGCGUUCAGGAGAAACUGGCAAUCUAGGGACCGGGAGAGGUGAGAGGUACUCC